rnacentral:misc_RNA from 1 species
GAUGAAGAACGCAGUGAAUCGCGAUAUGUAGUGUGAUCUGCCUCUAGUGAAUCAUCAAAUCUUUGAACGCAUCUUGCACCCUUUGGUAUUCCAAAGGGUACGCCUGUUUCAGUAUCAUUAUAACCUUUCUCCCCAAGGCUUUUUGGCCAAGGAGGGAAAGAGCAUAACCGGUGGCCCAGCGGUCUCCCUUCAGGGGGAUUGUCUCGGCUGGAAUGACUGUUGCAAUGGUGGGCCAAAUGGUCUUCCGCACUUGAUAAAUGUACUUUUAUAAAGAGCGGGACCGGUCUGCCGAAAGUUGUAACUAAACCCUGUUCCUUUAAUCUGAAAUCAGGCGGGAUUACCCGCUGAACUUAAGCAUAUCAAUAAGCGGAGGA